rnacentral:rRNA from 1 species
ACGGGUGAGUAACACGUAGGUAACCUGCCUAUGAGACUGGGAUAACUAUCGGAAACGAUAGCUAAGACCGGAUAACUGGUUUUCUCGCAUGAGAGAAUCAUGAAACACGGAGCAAUCUGUGGCUUAUAGAUGGGCCUGCGGCGCAUUAGCUAGUUGGUAGGGUAAUGGCCUACCAAGGCGACGAUGCGUAGCCGACCUGAGAGGGUGACCGGCCACACUGGGACUGAGACACGGCCCAGACUCCUACGGGAGGCAGCAGUAGGGAAUCUUCCGCAAUGGACGCAAGUCUGACGGAGCAACGCCGCGUGAGUGAUGAAGGUUUUCGGAUCGUAAAGCUCUGUUGCCCUAGACGAACAGCAAGGAGAGUAACUGCUCUUUGUGUGACGGUAUAGGAGAAGAAAGCCCCGGCUAACUACGUGCCAGCAUCCGCGGUAAUACGUAGGGGGCAAGCGUUGUCCGGAAUUAUUGGGCGUAAAGCGCGCGCAGGCGGUCAAUUAAGUUGGGUGUUUAAGCCCGGGGCUCAACCCCGGUUCGCAUCCAAAACUGGUUGACUUGAGUGUAGGAGAGGAAAGUGGAAUUCCACGUGUAGC